AUGAAUGUUUCUGAAGCCAUGUCUAAAGAAUUUGCUCAGGUAUUUUGUUGCCAAUUUGGUGACUUCCCUUUUAAAUAUCUUGGAGUGCCUCUGCACUUUAAAAAACUUAAAAGGGAGGAUAUCCAACCAAUAAUUGACAGGAUUAUCAAGAAUAUUGCUGGUUGGUUGGGGAAACAUCUUUCAUAUAGAGGCAAAUUGAUCUUACUCACUACUUGUAUUGCCAGUAUCCCUGCCUAUUUAAUGUCAAUUGUGAAAUUUUCUAAAUGGGCCAUUGAUAUGAUCUCCCAGAUGUCGCAUUUCUUCUGGGGCAAUGUGGGGGAGGUCCAUAAAUAUCAUCUAACCAACUGGAGACUGGUUUCUAGGAGAAAGGAAUUUGGUGGUUUGGGGGUACCCAGCCACAGGGACUUUAAUAUGGCCUUGUUAGCAUCAUGGGGGAGAAGGUUCUAUGAUGAGAUUGUUGUUUUUAAAUAUACUACCAACAAACCUAACAUCUUUUAUGCUAAACCUGUUAUGGGUUCUCCAUUUUGGAAAAGUCUUUCUUGGGCUCUUGCUGCGGCUAAAACAUUUUAUAAAUGGAUCCCUGGAAAUGAAGAAAACAUUGCUUCUGGCAUGGCAUUUGGAUUGGGGAUUGUUCUCUAA
rnacentral:rRNA from 1 species